rnacentral:rRNA from 1 species
UACGUAGGGUGCAAGCGUUGUCCGGAUUUAUUGGGCGUAAAGAGCUCGUAGGCGGUCUGUCGCGUCGGAUGUGAAAACCCAGGGCUCAACCCUGGGCGUGCAUUCGAUACGGGCAGACUAGAGUAUGGCAGGGGAGACUGGAAUUCCUGGUGUAGCGGUGAAAUGCGCAGAUAUCAGGAGGAACACCGGUGGCGAAGGCAGCUCGCUGGGACGGUACUGACGCUGAGACGCGAAAGCGUGGGGAGCAAACAGG